rnacentral:lncRNA from 1 species
AUGGAGGUCGUUCCCCCGAGUUUACCGAAGGAUAUCCGCGGGGAUUUCCGGCGACUGGCGAGCGAAUACGCGGAGGCGUCCAGCGAUGAUGCGCAACUCCGUCUGGUUAAGCUGGCACUCGAGAUUCUGGAGGAAGAGUGGUGGUGGCUUGAGUAUCCCGGAGUGCGGACGUUCUAUGACCGACUCCGGCGGAUGAAGAGGGGUCUGGCACGCGCUUUGCUCGCAUCGAGAGAACAAUUGUUCGAGGAAGCAGCCGCUCUCGUCCUGAGGGAACCUGUCCUGCGUGAGGUCCUGCAACUCCCGGGCCUGCAGCCAGCAGCCGCUUCAUGUCCCACCUCUCAGUCAGGUCAGUCAAGCCACGCUCAGUUUCCAGCCCCAGCUCCACCUCAGUCGUGUCCCGUUCCGGUUCCAGUUCAGCCUUGCCAUGCUCAGAUCUCAGUCCAGCCGAGCCCAGUUCAGUCUCCAGUCCAGUCGAGCCCAGUUCAGUCUCCAGUCCAGCCGAGCCCAGUUCAGUCUCCAGUCCAGCCGAGCCCAGUUCAGUCUCCAGUCCAGUCGAGCCCAGUUCAGUCUCCAGUCCAGUCGAGCCCAGUUCAGUCUCCAGUCCAGUCGAGCCCAGUUCAGUCGAGUCACGUUCCUGUCCCAGUCCAGUCCAGUCACGUUCCGGUCCCAGUUCAGUCCAGUCACGUUCCGGUCCCAGUUCAGUCCAGUCACGUUCCUGUCCCAGUUCAGUCCAGUCACGCGCAGGUCUUGUCCCAGCCAGAGGGCACCACCUGUCGUACAUGUGCUAUGCACACCCGAUCAGGCCCGACGUCUGCUCCGUCGAGCUCGGCAGCGGCAAGUAGCCAUGCCAGCUCCAGAGGAGAUGCCGUUUCAGUCCCUGCCGGCUCCUGUGAGGAGCCUGAGAGCAGCGCCGCCGGCUCCGGUGAGGAGCCUGAGAGCAGCGCCGCCGGCUCCUGUGAGGAGCCUGAGAGCAGCGCCGCCGGCUCCUGUGAGGAGCCUGAGAGCAGCGCCGCCGGCUCUAGUGAAGUUCCUGUUCCUGUCGGCCAAGUAGAUGCCGUUCCUGUCGGCCAAGUAGAUGCCGUUCCUGUUCCUGUCGGCCAAGUAGAUGCCGUUCCUGUUCCUGUCGGCCAAGUAGAUGCCGUUCCUGUUCCUGUCGGCCAAGUAGAUGCCGUUCCUGUUCCUGUCGGCCAAGUAGAUGCCGUUCCUGUUCCUGUUGGCCAAGUAGAUGCCGUUCCUGUUCCUGUCGGCCAAGUAGAUGCCGUUCCUGUUCCUGUCGGCCAAGUAGAUGCCGUUCCAGUCCCUGUCGGCCAUGUAGAGGUCGUUCCAGUCCCUGUCGGCCAUGUAGAGGUCGUUCCUGUCCCUGUCGGCCAAGUUGAGGUCGUUCCUGUCCCUGUCGGCCAAGUUGAGGUCGUUCCUGUCCCUGGUCCGGUUCCCGUCGGCCAAGUAGGGGUCGUUCCAGUCCCUGUCGGCCAAGUUGAGGUCGUUCCUGUCCCUGGUCCGGUUCCCGUCGGCCAAGUAGGGGUCGUUCCAGUCCCUGUCCCUGUCGGCCAUGUUGCGGCCGUUCCAGUCCCUGUUCCUGUCCCUGUCGGCCAUGUUGCGGUCGUUCCAGUCCCUGUUCCUGUCCCUGUCGGCCAUGUUGCGGCCGUUCCAGUCCCUGUUCCUGUCCCUGUCGGCCAUGUUGCGGCCGUUCCAGUUCCUGUCACCCUCGGAGCCGCAUCGCCCGCCGGCCUCCAGGAGGAGACCGCGCCUGCUGCAGCUCCUGCGCACCUCCAGGAGGAGGCCGCGCCUGCUGCAGUUCCUGCGCACCUCCAGGAGGAGGCCGCGCCUGCUGCAGUUCCUGCGCACCUCCAGGAGGAGGCCGCGCCUGCUGCAGUUCCUGCGCACCUCCAGGAGGAGGCCGCGCCAGCUGCAGUUCCUGCGCACCUCCAGGAGGAGGUCGCGCCAGCUGCAGUUCCUGCGCACCUCCAGGAGGAGGUCGCGCCAGCUGCAGUUCCUGCGCACCUCCAGGAGGAGGUCGCGCCAGCUGCAGUUCCUGCGCACCUCCAGGAGGAGGUC